AUUGAACGCUGGCGGCAGGCCUAACACAUGCAAGUCGAACGGAGGGGCGGACGGGUGAGUAAUGCCUAGGAACCUGCCUGGUAGUGGGGGAUAACGUCCGGAAACGGGAGCUAAUACUGCAUACUAUCAGAUGUGCCCAGUUCGGAUUAGCUAGUUGGUGGGGUAAAGGCCUAGCAAGGCGACGAUCCGUACCUGGUCCGAGAGGAUGAUCAGCCACACGUGAACUGAGACACGGUCCAGACUCCUACGGUAGGCAGCAGUGGGGAAUAUUGGGCAAUGGGCGAAAGCCUGAUCCAGCCAGGCCGCGUGUGUGAAGAAGGUCUUCGGAUUGGAAAGCACUUUAAGUUGGGAGGCGUUACCAACAGAAGAAGCACCGGCUAACUUCGUGCCAGCAGCCGCGGUAAUAC
rnacentral:rRNA from 1 species